GGUUAACGCUGGCGGCGUGCCUAACACAUGCAAGUCGAACGGUUCUAAGCGCGAGCUUAGGAUAGUGGCGAACGGGUGAGUAAAAGGUAGGAAUCUACCCCUUGGACGGAGAUAGCUACUGGAAACGGUAGGUAAACUUCGAUAAGCCCGAGAGGGGAAAGUGGUGAGACAGCCGAGGGAUGAGCCUACUCUCCAUCAGGUAGUUGGUGAGAUAAAAGCUUACCAAGCCGAUGACGGAUAACCGGUGUGAGAGCAUGAACGGUCACAAGGGCACUGAGAGACGGGCCCUACUCCUACGGGAGGCAGCAGUGGGGAAUCUUGGACAAUGGGGAAACCCUGAUCCAGCAAUGCCGCGUGUGUGAAGAAGGCCUGCGGGUUGUAAAGCACUUUUGGCAGGGAAGAAAAGCACUGGCCGAAUACGCCAGUGUGUUGACGUAACCUGCAGAAGAAGCACCGGCUAACUCUGUG
rnacentral:rRNA from 1 species